rnacentral:misc_RNA from 1 species
UCGCGGCUUAUCACCGGCAGUCCCCUUAGAGUGCCCAACUGAAUGAUGGCAACUAAGGGCGAGGGUUGCGCUCGUUGCGGGACUUAACCCAACAUCUCACGACACGAGCUGACGACAGCCAUGCAGCACCUGUCUUGGGACUCCGAAGAGGGACCGUGGUUUCUCACGGCUUUCCCCAAGAUGUCAAGCCCAGGUAAGGUGGGGAUGACGUGUGGAAUGUCGAUA